GGGCGAAUGGUUUAGUGGUAUAAUACUCCCUUAGCAUAGUUCAUUCGAAUCAUCUGGGAGUGGUCCAGGGUUCGAUUCCCUGUUCGUCCA
rfam:Fusarium poae strain 2516 chromosome FPOA_2 Chr2, whole genome shotgun sequence.